ACUAAAGCUAGCCCACUAUUUAUUAAAUACAACUAACAUACCUUGAUCAAUUAAAACAUUCAAUCUACCUACUAAAGUAUAGGCGAUAGAAAUUUUAAAUAUGGCGCUAUAGAGAAAGUACCGUAAGGGAACGAUGAAAGAGUAAUUUAAAAGUAAAAAAAAGCAAAGAUUACCCCUUGUACCUUUUGCAUAAUGAGUUAACCAGUAAAUCUUUAGCAAAGAGAACUUCAGUUAAAUUACCCGAAACCAGACGAGCUACCUACGAACAGUUACCAGAACCAACCCGUGUAUGUGGCAAAAUAGUGGGGAGAUUUGCAGGUAGAGGUGAUACGCCCAACGAGCCCGGUGAUAGCGGGUUGUCCAGGAAAUGAAUCUAAGUUCAGCUUUAAAAAUACCUAAAAGACACUAAAACUCUAAUGUUUUUUUAAAAGUUAGUCUAAAAGGGUACAGCUUUUUAGAAAUGGAUACAACCUUGACUAGAGAGUAACUAUAAACUACACCAUAGUAGGCUUAGAAGCAGCCACCAAUUAAGAAAGCGUUAAAGCUCAACAAAAACUUUACUAUAAUACCAAAAAUAAAUAAAUAAACUCCUAGCCUGUCUACUGGACUAAUCUAUUAUUUUAUAGAAGCAAUAAUGUUAGCAUGAGUAACAAGAAGUAAUUCUCCCUGCACAAGCUUACGUCAGCAACUGAUACUACCCUGACAAUUAACAGCCAAUAAAUACAACCCACAAUUAAACUAUUUAUCCACACUACUGUUAACCCAACACAGGUGUGCACUAAGGGAAAGAUUAAAAGAAGUAAAAGGAACUCGGCAAACACAAGCCCCGCCUGUUUACCAAAAACAUCACCUCUAGCAUAACCAGUAUUAGAGGCACUGCCUGCCCAGUGACAACAGUUAAACGGCCGCGGUAUCCUGACCGUGCAAAGGUAGCAUAAUCAUUUGUUCUCUAAAUAAGGACUUGUAUGAACGGCAACACGAGGGCUUAACUGUCUCUUUCUUCCAAUCAGUGAAAUUGACCUUUCGGUGAAGAGGCGGGAAUACCUAAAUAAGACGAGAAGACCCUAUGGAGCUUUAAUUAACUCAUCUAAUAGAACAAUACUUAAUCACCAAGAGACAACAAUACUUCUAACUAGGUGAGCAAUUUCAGUUGGGGUGACUUCGGAGAAGAAGAAAUCCUCCGAGCGAUUUAUAAAGAUUAGACUCACAAGUCAAAUCACACUAUCAUUUAUUGAUCCAAAGCUCUUGAUCAACGGAACAAGUUACCCUAGGGAUAACAGCGCAAUCCUAUUCUAGAGUCCAUAUCGACAAUAGGGUUUACGACCUCGAUGUUGGAUCAGGACAUCCUAAUGGUGCAGCCGCUAUUAAAGGUUCGUUUGUUCAACGAUUAAAGUCCUACGUGAUCUGAGUUCAGACCGGAGUAAUCCAGGUCGGUUUCUAUCUAUAAUAUAUUUCUCCCGGUACGAAAGGACAAGAGAAAUGAGGCCAACUUAAAAUAAGCGCCUCCAAGUCAAUUAAUGAUCUAAUCUCAAUUAAUUAACAAAUAACAACCCUAUAGCCCAAGAACAGGGCUA
rnacentral:rRNA from 1 species